rnacentral:rRNA from 1 species
GGGCCCGCACAAGCGGUGGAGUAUGUGGUUUAAUUCGAUGCAACGCGAAGAACCUUACCAGGGUUUGACAUCCUGCGAAUUUCUGGGAAACCGGAAAGUGCCUUCGGGAGCGCAGUGACAGGUGGUGCAUGGCUGUCGUCAGCUCGUGUCGUGAGAUGUUGGGUUAAGUCCCGCAACGAGCGCAACCCACGUCUUUAGUUGCCAGCAUUUAGUUGGGCACUCUAGAGAGACCGCCGGUGAUAAGCGGGAGGAAGGUGUGGAUGACGUCAAGUCCUCAUGGCCCUUACGGGUUGGGCUACACACGUGCUACAAUGGUAGUGACAAUGGGUUAAUCCCAAAAAGCUAUCUCAGUUCGGAUUGUCGUCUGCAACUCGACGGCAUGAAGUCGGAAUCGCUAGUAAUCG